UGGGGAAUAUUGGACAAUGGGGGAAACCCUGAUCCAGCAACGCCGCGUGAGUGAAGAAGGUCUUCGGAUUGUAAAGCUCUUUCAGAUGGGAUGAUGAUGACAGUACCAUCAGAAGAAGCCCCGGCUAACUUCGUGCCAGCAGCCGCGGUAAUACGAAGGGGGCUAGCGUUGUUCGGAAUUACUGGGCGUAAAGCGAGCGCAGGCGGCUUGAUAAGUCAGAAGUGAAAGCCUCGGGCUCAACCUGAGAACUGCUUUUGAUACUGUCAAGCUAGAAUAUGGGAGAGGAUAGUAGAAUUCUUGGUGUAGGGGUGAAAUCCGCAGAUAUCAAGAGGAAUACCAAUGGCGAAGGCAUCUAUCUGGAACAAUAUUGACGCUGAGGCUCGAAAGCGUGGGGAGCAAA
rnacentral:rRNA from 1 species